rnacentral:rRNA from 1 species
AUGGGCGUGCGCUCAAAGGAUACAAACAGGGAUUCGCAAACAAAAAGGGGAAUUCGUAGUCACUUUUUCCUGUCGCGUAAAAAAAAGUCUUUACGCGAGAGCAAUAGAGGUUGGGAUACAUCUAUCUCUUCUGAGCAACCUCUUUUGGAUCUCCGUCCUCCAACUACUACAACUAGUAAUGAAUUUAUAGAGAAUCACAAGUCGACACGCAGGCCGUUAUACAAUAAAAUGACAGCACUUUGGCUCCUGCUAGCUGACAAUCAUGACAUGCAGGUCAUGUUAAAUUACACACAUGCAUCAUAUACAUAUGAGCCAUAUUAUUCACAUCAAACCUACAAAACAAACAUAUGCAUAGAAUCGCAUUCUACCGGUUUGUAUGAUCGUGUAUGA